UUAACUAUAAAACUUUAAAAUUAAUUUUCCCGAAAUUAGAGGAUCUAAGUUACUAUCUUAUAUAGUAAAUAAAAAUUAAUGUUUCAAAAUUAAUAUUAAAUGUUAACUUAGGGGUGAAAGGCCUAUCAAUUCUACAGGUAUCUGGUUAAACUUUAAAUGUAUUUAGUACAGAAUAAAAUUUGAAUUAAAAAAUGUUGAGAUUUUUUAAAGUUAGUUGAAUAUAUGAAUUUUUAAAUAUUUAAGGAUAAGUCCUACAUAGAAUAAUAUAAUAAAAAUUAAUAACAAUAUUUUAUCUCUUUAAUAAAGUUUUAUUUUUAAAAAUUGUUACUUAAAAAUUGAUAAUGUUAAAAUUAGUAUUAUUUUAAUAUAAAAUUAAGGAACUCGGCAAAUAAAAUACUCAACUGUUUAUCAAAAACAUAGCGUUAUGAAAUAAAUAUAAGGUUAAACCUGCCCUAUGAUUAACUAUUAAAUGGCCGCAGUACUUUGACUGUGCUAAGGUAGCAUAAUAAAUUGACUUUUAAUUGGGGCCUUGAAUGAAAGGUAAUAUGGGUAGUUACUGUCUUAGUUUUAUUAAUAAAAAGUUACUUAAAAGGUGAAAAUUCCUUUAAGAUAUUUUAAGAGACGAGAAGACCCUAGGAGUUUGCUUAAUAUAUUUUGUUGGGGCGACACUACAACAUUAGAACUUGUAGAAAAAUGUUAUAUAUAAAACGAAAAAUUUUAAUUUUAAUUAAACUACCCUAGGGAUAACAGCAUAAUUUUAUUUUAAGUUUGUGACCUCGAUGUUGGACUAGGGACUUUUAAUAUUAACAAUAUUAAAAAUUUGUUCUGUUCGAACAUUUAUCCCUACAUGAUCUGAGUUCAGACCGGCGUA
rnacentral:rRNA from 1 species